GGGGCGCUAAUACCGCAUAACAUCCCGCUUUUGGAGAAGUGGAGAUCAAAGCCGGGGAUCGCAAGACCUGGCGCUUGAAGAGGGGCCCGCGCCUGAUUAGCUAGUUGGUAGGGUAACGGCCUACCAAGGCGACGAUCAGUAGCCGGCCUGAGAGGGCGGACGGCCACACUGGGACUGAGACACGGCCCAGACUCCUACGGGAGGCAGCAGUGGGGAAUUGUUCGCAAUGGGCGCAAGCCUGACGACGCAACGCCGCGUGGAGGAUGAAGAUCUUCGGGUCGUAAACUCCUGUCGAGUGGGAAGAACCGCUUCGGGGCUAAUACCCCCGGAGCCUGACGGUACCACUAAAGGAAGCCCCGGCUAACUCCGUGCCAGCAGCCGCGGUAAUACGGGGGGGGCAAGCGUUGUUCGGAAUUACUGGGCGUAAAGGGCUCGUAGGCGGCCGACUAAGUCGGAUGUGAAAUCCCCAGGCUCAACCUGGGAACUGCAUCCGAUACUGGCCGGCUUGAAUCCGGGAGAGGGAUGCGGAAUUCCAGGUGUAGCGGUGAAAUGCGUAGAUAUCUGGAG
rnacentral:rRNA from 1 species